GACCUCAUUUCUCAGCCUUGGAUCUGAAUCUUCUUUCAGAGCUUAAAGAAGAUGAGGGCUACACUAACUCCUUCAUACAAAUCUGACGGAAUUUGAACCAGAUUAUCAAGAAGAGAAGAAGAAUCUUUUUUCUUUUCUUUCUCUCUCUCUUUUUUUCUCAUUAGAUCUGAUCACAUCAGAAUUUUAGGCAUGGAGGUGAAGGAAGAAGGAAGAAGAGGCAUUAAGGACCACACCUACGACAAGAAAGGAGUGCUUGAUUUUUUAUUACACGCACACCCUCUCCCUCACAUUUUAUUUUGUUGCACAAAAUAAUAAUCCCAUGCCCGACCACUCCCUAACACCCUAAUAGAUCUGAUCUAAUCUGAUCUUGGGCAUUAAUAUCAAAAAGGAAGGGAUAGGAUGCAUUGGGAUAGGAGAAGUGGCAAGGAAGUUAUCCCUGCACAACUUAGCGCUUGCUCCCUUUUCUCAAUUUUUUUUGUCUCACAAAAAUAAUAUCCCACACCCAAAACUGAUCUUCAUCUGAUAUAUUUCCUCUUUGAAAUCAUAUUCAAAAAGAAGGAUGAGCUAAAGGGGAG
rnacentral:lncRNA from 1 species